GAACACAAGUUCAACAACUAUACCACCAAUACUGAUCUUCCCCACUCGCCACUCGUCAGCGAGACAAUGAGGAUCCAGUGCACUGCUCUUUGCAUUGUCCUAAUGAUAUGUCUUCAAACCUCUCAUCCUGCUAUCGUGGUAAGUAUAUAAUUUCUUUUGUACUUACAACAAUUCAACCCAUACGUGGUUUAUAAACUCCAAUUGUGGAUUCAUGCAGUUAUCGUAGUUAAUUAUCAUUUAUAUGGAUGCACUGAAGCGCGUUGCCAAACAAAAUGCUUGCAGUAUGCCAAUAAGUAUAACCAAGCGGUAAAGAGCUUCCAAUGUGUCAAGGCAGAUCUUUGCCACUGUGAGUGUUUUAACAAGCAGCAUCUGCCGUGUCACCAAAGUCAUGGGAUUAGUUGACGCAGAGGACGAUAAAAAUGAACUUUUUUUUGAAUAUAAUAUAUAGGAUUAAAACUGUCACCAACUAUGGAUAUGGAGGUUACAUGGAGGCAGACAAUGCCAUAUUGCUAGCCAUUGUAUGUGCUUUAUCCGUGACUUGUUUCCAUACAAUUAUAAUAAAAGUGAUUGCGCAUCUUUCCUAUACUUUUGUUUCACUCAAUGUAUUGGAUCCACUGUUUUGGUUACAACUAAGAUGCUAUUUGGAAGGUCAGUCUUAGAACCAAAAACCCUUGUAAAAUACAGGUCCAGAACAUUUUACAUCUGCCAUUGAAAAAAUGUGUUUGGAUAGAAGGUAAUACAACAUAAAUUACUACUGGUUUAGACAAAAACACCCAGAAAGGAAAAAGUCUUGUUCCAUGGUGACAAUUUUUUUUUGACCAAUGUCAGGCUCAGCCGCUGAUGAUUUGAUUGCUUCUCCUUCUUCCUCGGGCUGUAGGGCAAUCCGUUUUCAUUGGCACUAGCCUAACCGCUCUCCGAUGCCAUCCUACUUCGUCACCACCAGCCUCUCCCUCCCCCCCUCCUCCGCUUCUGACAAUCGCCCUGCUCUCCCUAUCUCCUCCACCGCCGCCAGUCGCCGGACUCUUCGAUGUUGACGCAGCUGCAGCUUACACUUGGUGGAUAUGCACCAGGAGAACAGCGCGAUCAGUAUGGCUGGGACUCAAUCUUGUUAAUUUCUGGGGAACUCAAUUGUUUAUUUACCAAACUGACAUCAAUUUCUCAGUACUAGGCGAUCAUCAUCUCCUUUUCCAGAAUAUAGUCCACUACUUACCAGAAGGUUGAAGCACCUCUAUCACAGGCAGAAAUUGAUACACGGUUUCUAGUGCACAAGGAAAGACAGGUGUAAAAAAGUUCAGCUCUAAAAAGAUUGCUAGGUUGCAAAACAGGCCCUCUCUGUCAUGGCCUGACUGCCAUGGCUCUAAUGCCUCUGUAAAUAGUUGCAUAAAAAACAAUUCAUAACUUUUCAAUAAACUCGGAUGAAGAAAACUUUAUAUCAAAAUUAUAGCCCUCGAUGCGGCUUUUGUAAUAAAAACUGUUUGAAUUGAAACCUUUUUGGGUCCCAAAAUAUUAUUGUAAGUUAAAGAUUUUGAAAGCUAAAAUUGAAAAUUACCAAACAAUCUUGGAUGUUGAUAUGAUCUAUAUGAAAGUUAUAGCUCUCAAUAGAAUCUACGACUUUGUAGUUCAAAGUUCUCUAUUUCAAGUUGUUUAGAGUCCCAAAUAUGUGUUGCAAAUUUAUAGAUUUUGCAAUUAAAAUUUAGAAAUUCUAAACGACCUUGAAUGUUCACAUAAUUGAAACAAAAGUUGUGGUGGUCGACCUGAGCUAUGUGUUUGUUGUUAACAAAUUUUUUAUUUGAAGUCUUUGUGAGUAGAAAUCAUGUAUUUCUACCUGCGGUUUUCCUAAGGAUCCGUCACUAAAAAUCAUAUUUUUAGAGGCGGUUUUUUAAGAAAACCAUCUGUAGAAAUAAUUUGAAAUUAAAAUUUUUAAGCUUUUCAAAUGACCUCGUUUGAAAAAACUGCCAAAAUAAAACUUAUGAAAGUUUGUAGUUGACAAUUUUUUCAUUUGAGAUCAUCUUGUCGUCGAAAACAACAUUUGAAUUUCUCAAAUUUGAAAUUCAAAGUUUGUAAAUGACAUCGGAUGGAGAAACUACCAAUAUAAAUGUUGUAGAUCUUGAAAAGUUAUGAAACUUUGUAGCUGACAACUUUCCCAUUUGAAUCAGUUUAGGGCCUCAAAUAAUCAAUGUAUGCUCAGUUUAGGAUAAUAUGUGGGGAACUAAAGUCUAAUAUAGAGGAGGCUUCACGCGAGGGCGAGGUCUCGGGUUCGAAUCCCGCUGGCCACGUAGCGUGCGAUUUUACGUGAAAAAAUGCGCAACUUCGACGGAGACAGACGAGCGAGGGGCGAUUAGCCCGUGGGCCUUCCCCGGGAUUAAAAUCUUUUUUUCCUACUUUUAAAAGCCGAUUUCGGAUUUUCUAGAAAAAAAGUUACCAAUGGCGGUUGGCUAAGAGAACCGCAUGUGGAAAUUUCUUUCCUACUAGCGGUUGUCUCAGCAAAUCGCGUGUAAAAAUAGAUUUCUACAGGCGGUUCUCACUUAACCACCAGUGCAAAAAUUUAUUUCUACUGCCCCUAGGACGGUAGGGAAAACACCUGUAGAAAUGUGUUUAGAACCUGCUAGUGUUUCCAGCAACGACAGGCUACAGGCACCUGGCAUUCUUCUGAAACUAAUUAAGUUUCAGCCGUUCAAAAGUGAUUGGGAGAUUAGCACAAAAUGUGCAAAAUUAGCAUAGAUGCAUCGAAAGCAAAAUGCUCACUAUCCUAGUGUACCACUACCAUACAUGCAUCUAGGCAUCUAGCAGGUGCUAUGAAAAAGCUCAUCACUGUGUCGACAGAAAAAAAUUAUCUAGCCUGCAACCCAAUGUUACUGAUAGAGAUACCGGUGUCAGAUUUCAGCUCAAAAUACUAGUUUACCAUCGGAUAUGAAUACACAUGUCAUCACAAUUUCGCAAGAUCAGGACACCAACCACAGAGCUAGAGAGCAAAAAUUUUGCAAGAUUUGAACAUAAACCACAGAGCUACAUAGCAAAUCACCUGCGUUGCAAGAGGUGGGCAGGUCCUUCUGCAGAUCUGUCAACUCUUUAAGGAUUCUCUUUGGCGCCAUUAAUCAAACCCUACAUAAAAUCCCCAAAAUCCACUGGUCAAAUCUAACCCAGGGGCCGUGCUAAUCGAAUCGAGGGAGGGGGGACCAAGGGUCGCACGUACCGGUCCACUACCUUGAGCCCAUUGAGCUGACCAGGUGACGGUCUCGAUGGAGCCGUGCGCGGCUUUGCCGCUCACGCGUGCCGGCGAGACGCUCCACUGUGGCGCCAAAGGGGCUGGGCAGGGGCCUUGCCGGUGAGCUGAAUAAACAGGGGAUGGAGUGAGGAGUGCAGGGCUAGGGUUUUCAACUACCAGGGUGUCUUUUAUACCUGUUCACUUUGGCCAGGCGAAUCAUGACCGUCCAUUCUGAUCGGACGACUAGCAUGGCUCGUAAAUCAGUCUUAGUCAUUUAGUGGGCUGUGCAAUGCGUUAAGCCCUUAAACAGCCCAUGCGCCUGCACGCUGUGCUUUUGGCCGCUUCGGUCUUAAGGCCGGAAAAUAUUUUAUUUCUAGUAUUAUGUUUUUGCUUUAUUUAAUUCUAAUAAAUUUCAUUGCUCCCUACACAAUUUUGAUAUGAGGGAGAAUAGCUAAGUAGUGGUCUAGUAUCUUCAAAAUGUUUCAAAGUGAUUUGCUAUUUAAUUAAUUUCGACAGAGCCAAUAUAAAUGGUUCACUGUGCCAUUUCAUGGACACUAACUAUAACUUAUAUGUUUUCAUAGCUCUUGUGCAUUUCAUCGUCGUGUGCUCUUGAAACUUUUCUCAACCUCAUAGGUACCAAAUGUUAAGGAGACACACAAAGUUUCAAAUUUUGUCCUUUUCUUUUUUAAUUAUUUUGGCUGAAUUUUUGAAAAAUCAUAAAAUGGAAAAUGCAUGUAAAAUAUUUGACUUGGUCAAACUUUGAAAAAAUAAAACACUAAAUGACCUCAAAUAAUUUUUUUAAUAUUUACAAAAUAAAACUCAUCAAGGUCUAAACUUUUUGUAAUUGUCCACUUUUCAUUUGGCAAAGUUUGAACCAUUUAAAUUUUGAAUUUUGAAAUUUUGACACCUCGAGACCAGUUUUUGAAACCCUAGAUAAUCUCAUCUCGAAAAGUCAUGAAUACCAAGAUUGGUCCACUCAUCAAGAUCUACGUUUAAUACAUAGGUCAUUUUUGCAUUUGACAAAGUGUUACGAAAGUGUAUUUCUAAAUCCAUAGGUCUCACAUAUAGUUCCAUAAAGUCUAUGUGAUAUUCAAAACUUUGUGACUCCUGUUUACUAACACUUUCUCAAAUGUAAAAAUAAACUAUGUAAUAAAUGUAGAUCUUGAUGAGUUGUACAACCUUAGUAUUCAAAAGUUUUUCAUUUCAGGUCAUUUAGUGUCUCAUUUGACCAUUUUUUCCCAAAACACUUAUUCCUACGUUCACCAACAAAAUGUAAAUCGAAUCAUGGUCCCACACAUCGACAUGCUGGCGUAGUGGUAAGGCGGAUUGUUUUCUAUCCUCAGGUUUUGAGUUCAAUGCCCACCGUCGGCAUUUAUUUUUACUAUUUCGAAUUUACUUGAUCCUGGAUGAACUCGAACAAAACAACGUUUGUCACAUCAAAAUUGCUAAUGCAAUUGUAAGGCUUCUGUUUUGGACACCCAAGCACUGGGUUCGAUACCCUUGGAUUGCACUUUUGUUUCCCUAUCUUUUUAUUUACCAAUUUUUUUAUUGACCAAUUUACAGAAGGCUAUGUUGGGCUGGUAAACAAUUAAAAAUAAAGUGCACAUUUAGUCAUGUAGCACUCUAAUGGUAAGACAUGUUUCUACUAUCCACAUAAGUGCAAUCUUUUUGUUCCUAUAUGGAUAAUAUUUUUAGUUUUGUCAUAUAUGCUUGUUACAAAGUUGUUAAAAAAAUAUACAUGUAAUAAAGUAACAUAAUUAUUUUGUUCAAAUAAUUUAAUAGAUUGUGUUUACUACUUUUGCAAUCACAUUUUCUAUUUUUCUUUGCACCAAAUAUUAGUAGCAAGCUUAGAGUAUGAUGAAUUCAAAAUUCAUAUACUGUGAUGAUCCUAAUUAAAUCGUCACCAAUUAGUGGGCUAGGAAUAUCUAGUGAGCUCAUCCUUGAUGAAAAAUGAAUAUCGUCACGAAUUGCGGCUCUCAGUGGUUGUUAGUAAUGAUUUGUAAAUCUGUCACUGAGAAAUUGUCACAGAUUAACAGGUUCCUUGUAGUGUAUACUUUUGUUCCAUCCAAUUAUAAUAAAAUGUUUUGGCUAUGAUUAAAUUAUUUUGGACCAUGUUAAGUUUGGUACUUUCAAAAUAGGUAUUGUGAUUCCUUGGGUUUGGUCGUUUGGCAUGUUGGGGUUUGGGCCCAAACCGUGGCGAAUCUGGCUAGCUAGGACUUCAAGAUCUUCUCUCAAGAGUCCUAGCGGAGGGGUGGCGCCAUGGGCUUGUUGCCCACUGGUGAAACCUCAUGAUGUGGAGGAAGCUCACUAUAGCAGUCAACGGGCUAGGGUACCAAAGUCGAGGACCUGAGUUGGAGCAAAGGUGUCAGUCAUGAUUGAGAACACGUUGGAGAAGUUGACACCUCUAUCUAGGGUGGUGCCGCUUGCUCCUACGAUGAGGCAAGUGGCUCUGACCACCAUAGAGCCAGAAUCACACUUGAUGCUGCCCCUACUAGGCACACUAGCUAUCGUGGGGUUGGAAACAUGCGAUAUUGUUGUUCAAGUUGGUGUCAGAGUAUGGGUCUCUAGUGGCUCAAGUGGAAUCAAGAAUAUAGGAAUCACAUAGAGAUGACGUUACGAUUUAUCCUAGUUUGGGCCAAUUUGGCCCUUACAUACAGUAGUUGAUGAUCUAUAUACUCAAAAGCACUCAAUAUCGGGGGGCUACAACAAAGUGUAAAGAGAGGUUUGGUAGGGGUUAGCUUCAUACUAAUCCAAAGGUUGCCUCGCUGCUGGUGGAGCCUUCCUCUUAGAGAGGAGUAAUACAAUGGGACACGGUGGAGGAGCCCUCAGUGCCCCUCCCUAGGUUGCCUUCCUCUUGGUGUUGAGCGGAGGUGGAUGGAAUGGUGUGCUUAUUGAUUGAUUGGGAUCGCCUUUCCCCUGGGUCUGACGUUGUCCCUUAUAUAAUGAGAUAAGUUGGGUACAUGGUGGUUUGGGGGAACAAGUCUAUGGUCUAGGUGCACUAGAGUCCAGGAGGGUCUUGCAACGUUGCACCACGGAUCGUGGUAGUGUUGUGGAGCUGAAGAAGACUUAGGCAUCAUUUAGCUGCUCUAUUCUGAUAGGUGGACCAUAUGGAGUCUUCCUUAUGGUGAAGGAGGUCAGCUCUAGGGGUUAACAUGAGGGCUAGAAGCCUAAGCCCCUAGAGGCUUAGGGAAAGCCUUUUCUUCUUGUGUCACACCCGAGCAUGACACUGUUAGGGGAGCAGUUGGCAAGGCCACACCUUAGGAGUGGUGUUGGGUAGCUUCUGAGCAUCGGUAGUUUGGGGCUUCCAUUCUUGUGCUUGGGCCUUGGCUAGCAUCAUGAGCCAAGCAAAAGCAAAGGGCUAAGCUUAGAGAUGUCAUAGAGCAAGAGACCAAGGCUCGAGUGAGCCGCUACGCCCUAAGAGGAGGUUAUGACCAAGUCAGGCUUGGUUGAGUCUCUUUGCUAGAGCUUGUGAACAAGUGUGCCCGAUGGGCAUAGCCCCAAGCUCUCGAGCCAUAUUGGAGUUGUUGGUUGGGGGUCUUUUUCAGUCAGCAACCAUUGGACCCUAGGCUUAACAUAACCAUACAAUAGGAUGUUGUUACCUAAGAGCUUCCUCAUGGAAGCUUGGCACCACCAAUAGCACCAACUCAAUGGCAGCAAUCAUUGUAUCUUGUAGCAGUGAAUAAUGUCUGUUGUUUACCCAUGGCAUGGCAGUAGAGGCACGCACCUAGGAAGCCAAUUCAUCUCAUAGGCUAGCCAUCUCUACUAGCAGCCUAGUGAACCCCUUGUUGGCCAAUCAUAUGUAAAGCCACCUCAGCUUGGGCGUCAACUAGCUACCCCUGCAUGACUGAAAGGAACAAGGAUGCAAAGCUCAUAACAAUAAGACAAGGACAACUAGAAACAAGAGAUAGGGAAGAUGAAGUUUCACAGAGCCCUAGCUGUGGCCGCCUCCUCAUCUAUGAUGUUGAGCGUCGUGUAUACUACCAAGAGGCAUGCCCUCAUCCACUUGACCUACCGACAUUCAUCAUGGAGGGCUUGGCUAGCCACGUCUAACAACUAUGUGAUGGUGUGGAUGUCAUGACCACCAUCAUCAAACUCCUCAUCAUUAGCAAAGGAGGGAGAGCCCGAUGACAAAGCUGCCCACACUGUAAUGGUUGUGAUGACAAUGAGGCAUCCCUGGCUACCAUAUAGCUUGUCAUUAAGUCCUACAUGGUACAUUAUCUGACAAAUGGGCUUGGGUUACUCACACCACCCAUAUAUGCGACCAUAUCUAAGCUAUUGGCUCAGGAACGGUCAAGGAGGAGGCCCAUGAGGGCUGAGGCAGUCGAUCAAUGUAAAGACCAAGGCUAGCCUAGAUUAUCCAAUAUAUGCUUAUCUCGACAGUAGCUAGGAUUAAUCUAUGGCACAUUCCAUGUAACAAACUAGGAAUAAUCCAAUCUAUUAGCCUGAUCACCCUCAUUGUAACCCUACCCCUCUAGCUAUAUAAAGGAGAGCAUGGAACUUGCGAUUAGGAUCCAUCUCAUCUCAUUCCAAUUUACUACGUAUGUAGUUAGGAGCAACAACCCCUAUAAUCGAGCAUAUGAAUAAAAGAAGAGCAACAACACCACUGGAGUAGGGUUUUACGCACACCGUUGCCUGAACUAGUAUAAAUCCUUGUGUCUCAUGCACUACCAUCUAAUUCCGUCUACAUGAUCACAUUGCUAGGCAUUGUCAGAGCUAAUCCAUCCGACAUAAAGAUACCCCAAUUAUGACCACUGAGUCAUAUGAUGAGACAACCGAAAAGCCUCUUUUCACUGCUAGUUCAAUGGCCACUACAACUUAUCGGCCUGGGAAUCAGCAGCAAAAUAGUUUGGCCACCUGUUUUGUAAUAUAUGUGGAGAUAAGGGUGCAUUGACCAUUUCUAAUGUAUGUCCCUCAGUUGUCACAUGGUGGGGGAUAGGGUGUGCAUGCCGACAAUGUAUAGGAUGGUGCAUCGAUCGCAUGUGGAGGCUAGCAUGGAGGACGGUGAUAUGGUAGCACUAGGAACUCACCCUCGUCUUUAGCAACCUUGGGCCUCACGCCCCUCUCAAGGAACAAAACUGCCUUCGAAACAAGUGCAAACAAGAAUGCAGGGAUAACUUGAAUCCACUAUAACACAACAUAGCUUUGUCAAAACUUUUUGUUGUCGGUGAAAGUAACCUUUGCCGACAUAUAAUCUCUUGAGAAAGGUUUUGCUGACAGUUUACAAACAGUCAUGGUAGAAGCCAUCGGCAAAGAUUUUGCCAACAGUUAAAGGAGUCAUCGACACUUUUUGUGUAGCCAAAUGGUGUACCUACACCGAUAGUUAGGACUUUCUCCGAUAAUUAAUCUUUUGCCUACAGUUUGAACCUACACCGACAGUUAGGACCUUUCCUGACACUUUGUAUGUUGGUGAAUCCAUUUACAAGGUCCUUUGUAAACUAAAGCUUGUCCAUCAACAAAACUGUUGGCAAAAUUGUAUUGUACAUAAUAGGUAUAAAUACACUUUGAAUUAAAAUAUCAAAUCUUCCAUAGAUACACCAACUUGAUAAUCAUAGUACAUAGAGCCAUACAUAUAUAGGUCCAAUGAUCAUACAUAGCAAGUCAAUACAUAUAUAGGUCCAAUGAUCAUACAUAGCAGGUAAGUGAUGAUCAUACUACAUACAACCAUACAUAUAGAUGUCCAGAAUGUAGAUUAGUCACUAGCAGGCAUAUAUAUAGACACAUACUAAGUCUUAUACUAACUAGUUAUGGCUAAAGCUAAGAGAUCGAUUAGAAUUACAUCACAUGUUUCUAUAAGGACUUGUUUGGACCACCACAAAAUAAUACCAUGACCUUAGAUGAGUCACAAAUAGUUGAUAUUCCUCAGGUCAUCAGCCAAGCUGAAAACGAAUUCCUAACGGCUUCUUUUACGGAAAAGGAGAUUCGAGAUGAAGUUUUUGCUAUGGAACACAAUAAAGCACCCGGGCCAGAUUGCUUCCCGGCUGAGUUUUAUCAAAAGUUUUGGGAUGUCAUCAAAGUGGACCUGAUGCAAAUGUUCCAUGAUCUUCACUCAGGAACCUUGCCGCUUUUUAGCCUCAACUUUGGUGUCAUAAGUCUAAUUCCGAAGGUCCAAGAAGCUAAUAGAAUUCAAUAGUAUCGACCAAUUUGCUUACUAAAUGUUAGCUUCAAAAUUUUUACUAGAGCGGCAACCAUUAGAAUUAACUCAAUAGCAGAUCAUAUAGUUGGUUCAACUCAAACGGCCUUUAUGCAAGGACACAACAUCCUCGAGGGAGUCGUCAUUUUGCAUGAGACAAUUCAUGAGUUGCAUUAUAAAAAAAGUGGAAUUAUUUUUAAAAUAGAUUUCAAAAAGGCUUAUGACAAAGUUAGAUGGCCUUUCUUACUACAAACUUUGCGGCUGAAAGGUUUCUCUCCUAAGUGGAUCUCUUGGGUGCAAGCAUUUAUAUCAGGUGGAAGUGUGGCAAUCAAUAUUAAUGAUGAGGUCGGACAUUAUUUUCAAACGAAAAAAUGCCUUCGACAGGGGGAUCCACUAUCCCCCAUUGUAUUUAACAUUGUAGCUGAUAUGCUAGCUAUACUAAUUAAAAGAGCCCAAGGAGAUAAUCAGAUAAGUGGAAUACUGCCACAUCUAGUUGAUGAAGGUUUAUCUAUUCUACAAUAUGCUGAGGAUACAUUACUCUUUAUGGACCAUGACAUCGAAAAGGCUCGCAAUAUGAAGUUAUUACUUUGUGCAUUCGAGCAACUUUCUGGGCUUACAAUAAACUUCCAUAAGAGUGAAAUAUUCUGCUUUGGAGCAGCACAAGAAUCUUUUGUCCCAAUAUACCGAGAUUUUUUGUUGUAAUCAAGGAGCUUUUCCAAUGAGGUAUUUGGGCAUACCUAUACAUUAUAGAAGGCUCUCAAAUGCAGAUUGGAAAAGAGUAGAAGAACGUUUUGAAAAAAGACUUAGCAGCUGGAAAGGAAAGCAUUUGUCAACUGGUGGGCGCUUGACACUGAUUAACUCGGUGCUUAGCAGCUUACCAAUGUAUAUGAUGUCCUUUUUUGCGAUCCCAAAAGGAGUUGUAAAGAAACUAGACUACUUCAGGUCAAGAUUUUUUUUGGCAAAGUGAUGAACAAAAACGAAAAUACAGAUUAGCCAAAUGGGACAUAUUAUGUCAACCCAAAAACCAAGGUGGACUUGGAAUUCACAAUUUAGACAUCAAGAACACGGCCCUUCUGUAAGUGGCUCUUCAAAUUGCGCACAACUGAGGGUACUUGGCAACAAAUGCUACGUAAAAAAUAUUUAGGAUCUAAGUCACUUUCUCAAGUUCAAUGGAAGAAUGGAGAUUCACAUUUUUGGGCCAGUUCUGAUGAAGGUUAAACGAGAUUUCCUACGUUUUGGGACCUUCAUAAUUCAGGAUGGAUCACAAGUAAGAUUCUGGGAAGACAGGUGGUUAGGACAGUCAACUCUGCGUCAACAAUAUCCUUGUCUUUAUAACAUAGCCCGGCAUAAACAGGUUACUGUAGCAGAAGUGCUAAGCACGUCUCCACCUACUCUAUCCUGGCGAAGAGAUCUAAUUGGACACAAAUUAGUGGCUUGGAACAAAUUACUUCCACGCAUCACGAAUAUUCUGUUAAGCCAGCAAGAUGAAUUUCGCUGGAACUUGCAUCCUAAUGGACAGUUCUCAGUUAAAUCUCAUUACCUAGCAAUGUUCCAUAAUGAUGUUCCUAAUAUUAAUAAAGGCUUGUGGAAACUUAAAGCUCCUUUGAAGAUCAAGAUAUUUCUAUGGUAUCUACGUACAGGCGUAGUGUUAACCAAAGACAACUUAGUUAAACGUAAUUGGCAUGGCAGCAAACAGUGUUGUUUUUGUCACAAAGAUGAGACAAUUAAACACCUGUUUUUUGAAUGUCGUUUUGCUCGUGUUGUCUGGUCUGUUAUCCAAGCGGCUUCAGGCUUGUCUAAACCGCAUAGUGUCUCAAACAUGUUUGGUUCUUGGCUCUGCGGUCUAAGUAAAUAACUGAAAUCGCUAACCUUGCUAGGAGCAGCAGCUACAUGUUGGUCUCUUUGGUUAUGUAGAAAUGACCUGGUUUUUGAAAAGAAACAUACUUGUUUUCCCUUACAGGUUAUCUACUCGAUUAUACAUUGGCUGCGUACAUGGGCUGUCCUGCAAAAGCCAACUUCACAAGAUUUGGUUGUAGCGGCAUCUCAACAAUUGGUGCAAGUGGCCAAGGAGUUUUUUACCCGGGCACAUGGGUGGCAGUCUAGUCUUCGGAUUGAGUGUUAUUAGUGUGUCUUUAUGUUUUAAGUUUUUUUUAUAAGGCUGUGUGUACCUUUGCUAUACAGAGGCUGGAAGUGUUUCAAGGUUUUUGUAUCAUCUCGAUGUAACGAUCUUGAAAUUAAUGAAGCUUUCUUUAUCGAAAAUAAAGCUAAGAGAACGAUAGAUCAUGACUUGGACAAUAAGUGACAUUCAAAAUUUCCAUUGGUCUUUGGCCUACAUGAUAGUAGCCUAGUAGGUGCAAACAAAAGAACAGAACUGCAAUUCAUGUCUUCCUGCAGCACUUCUCGGACACUCAUUUCGAAUCCAAAGUACUUGAAUACCAACUUGGUGCACAUAUGGCUGCUUCCACCCAAGAGAACAUGUAACGGCUCGCUGGUCGAAGCUCAAAAGGUUGCCCAGUCCAAAAUACUUGCAACACCAUACAACUUAAGUACCUAACAAGAAAAAAAGGCGAAAUAUAAGUGAAUUGUGCUCUGUAUCAUUAAUUCUUGCUUUGUUAUUGGGUGGAAAUAGGGAAACGAUAUUAAUGUAUAGUGGACAGCUAUGCUAUAAACUAUUUAUUGAUAUAGAGCCAUUAUAUAAUUCCAUUCAAUCUAGUUAGCAAUGACGUGUCAACUAGAAGCAACAAGCUAGGUACCAACAGCUUAAACAGCAGCUGUAGCAACCUAUUACUAUCUUUGAACUGAUCAGGAUGUAUAUAGCAGCCAACCAAAUUUAUAAAACCUCAUAGUUUUUCAAGAAAUUCUUCAACAUAUAUAUUAUAAUCAAAUUUAUAAAGCAGCCAGCCAACACAGCCUCAUUGAUUUCCCAAAUUUCAACCAGUUCGGAUCACAUAUACAAAUCAAAAUGUUCAAGUGCAUACCUUCAAGCUGUGAUGUGUCCUUCCUAUGCCACCACAUUUUAAGAGCUGAGGUGACUUCUUGUCAUCCUUCAUCUAGUAUAAAACAAAUAUAUUACUAACCAGCAAAAUAUAAUGAUCAUUUCUUAAAGAUAGAGAGGUUAGGCCAUUAUUACUGUCAUGGGGCCAUGCAAUACAUCUCCCAUGAGCCUCUAGAAUGGUGGUGACCCCUUCAUAUGGACGAGGCAGUACAGUGUUCCUCAUUAACACAUGGUUCACAACCACCUCACACUACUGCAUGCCAAGAGCAGUACCCCCAACAAUAGCCCUUGGGUUUUGUGUUUGAACGGUAGCCUUUGCCAUAGGGACAUCAUAGGGCCUUACUACAUUAUAUAGUAUCACAUCUCAAGGACACUUAGUGUCUCAGCUAUUUCAGCCUCUAGGUUUUGCAUAUCACUGAUAUGAAUAGUGGGUGAGUAGAUAUUCUUGAAGAAAUUUCUCACAUGAAGUGCUGCACUGACUCUUUCUGUCAAUUUAUUCGACCAGCGAUGGGAAGCAAGCCCUAUAACAAUAUGUGGUUGUCAUGGCUCUUUAAUCCAAUUAACUUCUUCUCCCUAACUUGCACAUUACGGCGCAUAUCAGAAGCAUAACCAUCUGGAAACUUCACUUCCUUCAAUACUUGAAACGCUUCCCUACCAUCAGGACUCAUUGUAAACUGUGCUGGAGGUAAAUAGAAGUAAUCUUCUACACUAACAAGAUGAAGAUCACUUGUAAUGCCAAGUUCCUAGAUGUCGAAGCGAGCAUUUAAGUUAUCCUUGGAUUUUCCAUCAGUGUCCAAAAGUGUGUCAAUAAUAUUCUGACACACAUUCUUUUCUAUGGUCUUUCCAAUAUGGCAACUUAAACCAAAUGGAUUUUCCUUUCCAGGCAGUUGAUGGUUCAUCUGUAGUUGGAUUGCACUGAUGCUUGGUUGGCUUCUUGGUUAUUGGGUCCUUUCCCAAGGUUGGGCAGAUAUUGGCUGUCAGCUCCAAUAUUUCCUCUCCACUAAGAGGUCUAAGUGCUCGCCUAAAUUCUAUGGUAUUAUCAAAAAAAAUCUGCAUCAAACCAAAAUUUGUGUUUGGCAUCUAAGAAUCUGAUAUGGCCCAUGUAGACACACUUGCCUCCCUUUUUCAAUUGGAAAGAACAUGUAUCUAAGUGGCAUUCAUGACAAGCAACUUUGCUAGAAGUGACACAUGCUAGCAAAUAACCUAGACUGUGCAAACUAUGGCAGCACGCAGUUGGAAGUUUUCACGCUUAGGAGCAUCAUAUGUUCUUACACCAACAACAAACAUUUCUAUCAUAUCAACAACCAGUGGCUCAAGAAAGACAUCCAUAUCACCACAAGGUGCCUUAGGUCUAGGGAUCAACAAGGAUAAGAUCAAAUUUGAUGGCUUCAUCCACUUCCAAGGUGGAAGGUUGUUUGGGAUCAGAAUAACAGGCCAAAUACUAUAAGUUGAUUUCAUUGUCCUAAAAGGAUUAAAGCCAUCACUAGCUACAGCUAGUGUAAGAUUUAGACUCUCCAAGGAAAAUACAGGAUGCUUAGAGUCAAAAUCCUUCUAGAAAGGAGCAUUAGCAGGAUGCCUCAGCAGACCAUCAUUUGUGCACCCUUCAUUGUGCCGCCUUGUGUCACUUGCUGUUUUUGAGCACAUAAAGUACCAUUGCAGUCUUUUCUUUAUAGGAAAGUAACGUAGAACUUUCCUAGGAACCCUAUGCACACGUUUUCCAUAGGACUACUCUUUUCUAAUUUCCAUCCUGAGGUUUUACAUUUUAGACAAACAUCUUUUGUCGCAUGGUCUUUCCAAAACAGUAUGCAGUCAUUCUCACAUGCAUGCAUGAAUUUUCAUGUACCCAGGUCCUACACCUUUUACCAUUUUUUUAGCUGCACUAAAGUUUUUAGGAAAUGGAGUGCCAAUUAGUACCUAGGCUGAUCCAUCCAUGUUUUAUCCAUGAUGCACCUUUUACAAAAUGGAAAUGGAGUGCCAAUUAAUGAAAUAUAUACACAUCUGUUCUCAUUUCAGAUUGGGUUGUUCAACAAAAAAAAGAUCUUGCCAAAAAAUUGUCCAAAUUAAGUCAAUUUCAACACACUUGAUGCUAAAAAAAUCAUCUCACCACACAAUCAACAGGAACUAUAGGAAAAAUUUAGUCCAGAUCUAAGAAACCAAAAUCAUAACAAUACAGAACACACAAUCUGCAGAGUUGAUAAGAAAAGGAGAGCAUAUCAAUCAAGCAAUGACAGUAGAAGAGCCGAUGAAGACUAAAAGGCCAACUUGUUCUUGCACCCUAUAGGAUAAUAUUGCCAACGAUAAUUAAUCACAAGGCAGUACAAAUAAGUUAAAAACCUGAGUGCAAACAAACUUACUUAAAAGCUACAAGGGGUUACAACUUGUGUAGAAAGAACAACCAAAGAGUUGAGUCCUUUAGCUCUUCCUUAUUGGAUAUUUUGCAACAUGCACAAGAAAGAAAGAAAUAAUGAGAACUGAUCUAUUUGGAAUGAGGAGACAUUUAUGCAUUUCAAUAAUUCCAAGGUUAACUUAUACUUCCACUUGUAGCUUAAAUUUCAAUUGAUUCCCUUUUCUCACACCUUUUAUACAGAACAAACACAGCAUGUUUUUUCGCAUAAAGGACAAAAGAAAAGUGACUAAAUUCCCAUCAUGUGAACUUUGCCUCUGUUGAUGCGAAACUGAUCUGCAAACACAAAGGGCUAAUACCCGAUUCGAACGUUAAGGCGUGCCAGCCGAUUUGACCUUGCUAUCGGCAAAGGUAAUAACUCGAAUACUUUAGUCCUGACAACAGCGAUGCGCCCGGAUGUCACGGCUAAGAGGUACUCACGCGGAACUUGAGAACACGCCGAGCUUAAGUCGACGAAUUCCUAAGAACUCGUAAUAAAAGGAAAAAAGUAUGACGAAGUCGUCGAAAAGUAAAUGCUGGAAUAUGAGUAAAAACGUGUGUUUGAUUGAUUUCUUGAUAUCUUAUUACAAGGUCCUAGGGUUUAUAUUUAUACCCUGUUCAAAGAGCUACGACCAGACACGAUUAGAAUUCGAAUUCCAAAUUACACGGAAUCCAUGUACAAAACGAUGCAAAUAACUAAGGAAACAAUAAAACUAUCCUUCGUGACAAACUGAAACUCCUCCACAUGACAACUGGCAGCUUCCGGACUCCUCCUUCGCGUCAUCGGCAAUCCCCUUGCCAUGGUCAUCGGCAGACCCUUUUACCUGGUCAUCGGCACCAUAUUACUGCCUGUGGACUUAGUCACAUUCAACCUCUCCCUCAUCGGCAACCAUCCUCACCAGCAACCCGCAUCGUACUGCCACCCUAUCCUGCCAUCCUGGACACGUGCCCAAAAAAUGGUGUCAACACAUGCAUCCCAGUUUCGGAGUAUAAAACUAUUAAUGCUCCGAAAUUCUCUGCAGUAAUGAUGUCUCCUCCGCAAUUAAUGCUCCUAAUCUGGUAACCGACAACCUCAAUCUGGGCAAUUCUGAUCCUAAUCCUCCGCAGAUUCCUCGAAAUCCCCAACUUCCUAAACGGGCAUCUUUCUUGGUCGUACAUCGGCAACAAUACUGUUACAAAGAUCUGCCGAUGCUCUGACCGGGAUAUUCGCAAAAACGGUUACCUCCCCUCUAUCCGCCCAUCGGCAAGAUGACCGUUAUAGAAUAUCGCCGAUGGACCGACCAGGAGAUCGCGCACAGUAAAAUAUCUUUAGAUAAUGACCGCUUCCUGUCAAAUCACCUGCACAACCCCUGGAUUACCGUGCGAACAGUUACCAUAUCCACCUGAGUACCCUCGGGCUUCUCGGAUGCGGCAAAGAGAUAAGUCGGAUUUGCCCUUGCCCAUCUUGUCCUAUAAAUAGUUCCUUCUUGGGUACUCCUCCUCCAUUACACCAUUCUACUAUCCAACUUUUCUUUUCCAGCGGCGGCGCCAUUUACAACCCUCAAGAUCUCCGGCAAGCACUCCUCUUCAUCAACUCCGGUGCCCUCCAGCGUCCUCUUCACGACAAGAUGGCUGUUGGCUUCGUCGUCCCUGAGGUCAGACAUCCAUCUCAUCUGCUGUACCUUUUUCUUGCAUUCCUGUUCAUCUGCGAUUCAUCUUACCGAAUAUUUUUCUUUUCCUUUUUCUUUGUAUUUUUAUUCCCCAAAACACUAGGAGUUGUCCAACAAAAUUGUCAUCCCUACCGAUCAACCACACCUUCAGUGCCUCGGCCCUCUAGGGGAUCCAGAUCCAACCGACCUUAUCAAUGCAGAAACCAACAGGAUUCCCUUUAGAGCUGAAAACUUUGCUUUAGAUCUAUGGAAAGACACCUUUCGCUCUUGGCCCAGCCCUACCGUAGGGUGGAAAGAUUGGUUCUUGGGGGUCAGCAAUUCUUAUGAAGUUCAAUGGGGUGAGAGGAAGUUAGCUCAAUGCAUUAGACUAUCCAUUGCCGAUAUGCACAGGAACGAGUCAUUGCUGAUAGCUGCAUCUUACUUUUGGUCAGACACUCUCAACGCUUUUGUUUUUGGCCACGGCCCUGCUUCUCCUACCCUUGCCGAUGUAGCCAUGCUUACUGGGCUAGAUAUAUCUUCUGCCGAUAGCACCCACUUUUUUGAUACUGCCCCCAGUGCCAAAGUGGAGACUCGCGCUAUCGGCGGUUGGUCAGGGUACAUCCAGAAGUACCGCGGGAGAGGGCAUGUCACCAUAAAGGAGCAAACCACCUUUCUGAACAUGUGGCUAGACAAGUUUGUAUUCUGUGGUCGAUCGGCAGGACCGACUUCUGUCUAUCUAUCGGCAGCAGAAAGACUGGCUAGCGGCGGCCAAUUUCCUCUCGGCCGAUAUUUGCUUGGCGCUGUUUACCACCUUCUUCAUCAGGUAGCCCAGAAACUCCUGCUUGGCCAAUCCAUCGGCAACUUGGGAGGCCCAUGGUGGUUUAUUAAUAUGUGGCUCAAUCUGCACCUGUAUAAGCGCCUUGAUUUCAACUUAUUCUCACAGCACUUCCCAAGAGAUAUAGCCGAGAAUCAUGUGUUGGGUGAAGAGGAAUCGGCAACACGUGCCCCCUUGAACUUUGGCGAGGCAGUUAUAGUCUUACCCGGUUUAGGGAACAAUUCGGAUCAGAUUGGCCGAUUCUUCGAGACUCUGUAUGAGGGUCUGGCCAGAGAUGAACGACCAUGGCUGGCUUAUGACGACCCAGACAGCAUGCUCCCUCUGACCUUCAAUCCAUUUGAUGAAGCUCUCGACAGGGAAAAUGAGGUGAUGAUGGCAAUCGUGACUCCCAGAGCCAUACCAGUGAAUUUCUUUGGUAGCACGAAAACUUCUCCCCAAACCUAUGAAUUUUAUAAUCCAUCGGCAUUAGCUCGCCAGCUAGCUUUCGGCCAAUUGCCGAUUGCACUUCCUUAUGCCGAUGUAAUAAAGCCCAGAGAACCCAUCGCCAACCUCCUCGAGUGGACUCGAGUAGCCCAGCUACCACCAAA
rnacentral:lncRNA from 1 species